rnacentral:rRNA from 1 species
AGCAGCCGCGGUAAUUCCAGCUCCAAUAGCGUAUAUUAAAGUUGUUGCAGUUAAAAGGCUCGUAGUUGAACUUCAGGCCUGUCCAGAUGGUCCGCCUUAAUUGGUGUGUACUGUCCUUGGGUGGGUCCUACCUUCUGGCGAAGCGGCAUGGCCUUAAUUGGUUGUGUUGGGGAACCAGGACUUUUACUGUGAAAAAAUUAGAGUGUUCAAAGCAGGCAAAUAUGCUCGAAUACAUUAGCAUGGAAUAAUGGAAUAGGACGAUGGUUCUAUUUUGUUGGUUCUAGGACCGUUGUAAUGAUUAAUGGGGAUAGUUGGGGGCAUUAGUAUUCAAUUGUCAGAGGUGAAAUUCUUGGAUUUAUUGAAGACUAACUACUGCGAAAGCAUUUGCCAAGGAUGUUUUCAUUAAUCAAGAACGAAAGUUAGGGGAUCGAAGACGAUCAGAUACCGUCG